ACGAGAACUAUCUUUGGAAUCAGCCUU
rnacentral:piRNA from 1 species